CAUGCAAGUGAUGGCCAAAUCAGAUAACAAAAACAUCGUGUUGCAUAUUAUAUACCUACAAAAUAUCACGCUCCGAAAUGUAGUGUGGCUACCAGAUCUACUUUUAAUAUAUCCAUCUGAGUAUGCGAAGUGCGACAUUCACUUAUUCACAUACAUGAGAGUGUAAAUAAUAUACAUAUAAGCCAAAGCUGAUGUAUUCUACAAAUGCUUCGACAAAAAAAGUAGACUCAAGGUUAUUUANNN
rnacentral:lncRNA from 1 species